rnacentral:hammerhead_ribozyme from 1 species
AUCCAGCUGACGAAUCCCGAAUAGGACGAAACGUACAUCCUCGAU